AGCCAAAGGCAGAGGCUUUAACCCACUGAUUCACCCAGGCACCCCCACAGAUUGUAAAUAUUAAUCACAUCUACAAAAUACCUUUCCAGCAACAUCUAGUCUACUGUUUGACCCAACAAUUGGCACCAUGGUCUGGCCAAGUCAAGACCCAAGAAUAACCAUCACAGUGACCUCCAUUCAAUAGUAUUUCCUCAAAGGCACAAUGAUAAUUAAGUUUUUAAAAGUUCCCUUAGUGAACAACAUAAGGCACGUUUUCAUUAAGAAAACAAAUCCCCGUGUUUUUUAUUUUCUUUGUUCUUUUCAACCUGUUUUUUAUUUUCUUUGUUCUUUUCAAUCAGUUGUUUUGUGGUGAAGAAGGGGAAGAAUGGGGGAGGGAGGAUCAGAUGUGUUCACAUGCCCUCUUCUGUAUAACUUUGUCAAAUAUUUGUGCUAGAGCGUUGAGAACACUGUGUCCGUUAGAGAGAACCAAAAUAGGGCAAAUAAGUUACUCACAAUCUAGUGGAAGUUAGAGAUAUGUAAACAAUCUACCUUACAUAUUACAUAUUCCAAGUUAUGUUUCUAAAUUCAGUGUCUCCAAAAGGUAAAAAGGCAAUAGUAUGGAAGGCAUAUAAAAGGGUUUGGAUGUGAUUGGGCUCCCAGCUGAAAGGAAGUUUCACAGACCUAUAAGGGCAGCAUUGCAAACUUUCCUUACAAUUUUUCAGUAUGGACAGGUAGAAGGGGAAAGGGCAUAGCAUAAGGAAAUUGUUUCUAAGGUGGGGUCACUCCUCGGUUGCACCACAGAGAUGGCUAGAAUUAAUCAAAUUCACACAGCAAGUCCUGACAUUUGAUGGCCUAAUUAGAGUGAUUAUGGGUACGCUUUAAAAAUAUGCUUUGUCAGCAGAUGAUCCAAUGAGAUGUUUCCAUAAAGAACAUGUUCCCACUCCACACCUGGACCAGGAGCAGCUCAAAACAUGGAACUAAAAAGGAAAGUUGGCGAGAACAAUAAACUAGCUGUGACUUCUGUAUAUAUCAUGAGCAACAACUGAAACACAAUGAGGGCAAUAGGUGUGGAAGGAAGCAAACAGUAGAACAAAGUUGAAGAGCCACAAGUACUAUGGGUGAGCAGAAAAACAUCCCAGAGAGAGGUUGUCAUAGGAACUGUGCCAGAAGAGCAAGUUACUCAAUAGAAUGUACCAUCCAAAGAAGAGAGGAAGGAACUGAUCUUGAAGCAUCUUUUACCACCCAUUUUAGGGAACAAAUCUUUCAUGAAUCUCCUCAUGGAAAUUGUCUACAGUGACGGCAGGAGACCUCUGAGGAAGACACAAUCAUUAUUCAAAUUUUCCAGAUGAAUAAAUGAAGCACAAAGAAGGUGAAUUGUUCAAGGUCACAUGAGAGGAAGAAGGAGAGAGAGAAUCUCAAGCAGGUUCCAUGCCCAGCUCAGAGCGGGAUGCUGGGCUUGAUCUCACAACCCUGAGAUCAUGACCUGAGCCCAAAUCAAGAGUUAGACAUUUGACUGAGCCAUGCAGGUACCUCUCUUUAUGUUGUUGUUGUUGUUGUUUUUAAUAUAUAGGUUUUUAUUUUAUUUAAAAAUAUUUAAAUUUUAACAUGAAGUGCUCUAUUGUUUAAUGUUUAAUGUUAGCAUACAGUGUUGUAUUAGUUUCAAGUGUAUGAUAAAGUAAUUCUAUGUUAUUUAUGUUUUUAAAAAAAUUAUCCCUAAAGGAAAUGUCUAUUGAGCCCUAAUCACUGUGCCCUUUGGGGAUUAGUGAGAAUAAAUGGGUGAGAAAGAAAACAAGUAUUUGUAUUGGUGAACCUGAAUGUACAGGUUAGAAAGGUCCUGUGGCUACAGGAAUGGGGAUGGAUUUCAUUAAUUAAAAUUAAAAACUUGGAGUGGAAACCACAUGGGAAAGAAAUCUCUAGAGGAAAGAGAGAACAGCUUCUCAGACAAGAAUUAAGUAAGUGGCCAAAAAUGGUCUAUCACAUAAUUGUAUAAUUAUUUGGAUAGUUUCUUCGAUGAAAGAAAGAUAGUUUGGGAACUAAUGGAGAACAGACUAAUAGGGGCAAAUAAGUUAACAGAUGAACGACUUUUCUUCUUCAGCUGAAGCCUUCCUAUUGCUGUGUUACCCUUUUUAAUGGAUCAUGGAAAUGCAGUUUUCUCUAAAGAGGAGGUCUCUAGUGUAUGAGUUACAUCUUUAAAUAUUUUAUUUGCACUUUAAUUUUUUUGCCUUUCUAAAGGGAGCUUUAUAGUAAGAUACUUUAUUUUCUUUUCUUUUUAAGAUUUUAUUUAUUUAUUUAACAGAGAGAGGGAGAAGCAGACUCCCCGCUGAGCAGAAAGCCUGACGUGGGGCUCAAUCCCAGGACCCUGAAACCAUGACCUCAGCUGAAGGCAGAGGCUUAACCCACCUGAGCCACCCAGGCACCCCUAUAGAAUGAUACUUUCAGAAGUAUCAGGGGAAUCAUGAGUAACAAGAGGUUGGGACAGGCUGAGAAGCCUCAGGACAGACUGUGAGUUUGAGGAGCUGAGAGUGCAGAAAGGAGACUGCAUCUUUGUAUAGAAACACCUGUUAUGGGGGGAGAGAAAGUGGUGAAGGGUGCCCUGCUUACAGAAAAGAAAUCAAAGUCAAAUGUCAUGCCAAACUAGUGUUAAAGAGAUAACAGGCUCCAAAUGGAAUCACUUGUACUAAGACCCAUGUCUGCAAAUGAAGACUUACUACUUAUCCUAAUUGUAGUUGCAGCCUCUCCCCAAAACGUAAUCUUUAACCAGUUGGUCUGGAAUUAUUUGGCCAGCACUAGUGAGGUGAUCUGCCUGAUGUACCCCUGCAUUCCUCCAAAGGGGGGUAACCUUGCCUGAAACUAUCCAGUCUUUGCCAGAGGAACUUCUUGCUCUGACUCCUUCUGCCUCUAAGUCUUCCAUUUUGUCCAGCUCCUUCGAAUUCCUUCCCAUCUGCUAAAAUGGGAUGCUGCCCCAUUCAUGAAUCAUAAAGUCAAUUUGAUCUUUAAAUUUACUCAGUGGAGUUUUGUUUUUUUAACAUGAGAGAGAAGGCAAGGUUGAGAGUCCAGGAAACUAGGUCUGGAUUUAGUGGGUUUGAUGUCCAAAGAUUCAGGUCCAUUUUAAGAGACUCAUAAAGAAAAAGAUCUAAAACGUUAACGAGAAUUGUAGGCUAAUAGAACUCAGUUGAAAUCUAGGUCUGUGGGUGUCCCAGGGCUUCAUCGACAGGAAGAACAGAGAAGGUGAGAUGUGGGUAGGCAAGAGCAGGCAAUGGUAUGAAUGAGUUUUUAUUAUUUACCAUAAAAGAAAUGAGUCUUAUAAAUAUUACACCAAACCCUGACUUUAAAGAAAGUAAUGUCUAGUAAUUAUCUAGUAAUGUUACAGAGAAGUAUUCCUGAUGACUGGAGGAGACAGGAGACAGGAAACUGAACAAAGGAUGUUGCCAGUAUCCAGCUGGGUCUGGGACUUCCUCGAGGAAUGGACUCGUCUUAAUUCCUCUGGGUCUUUAGAACUUAGAACUUGGAGCAGAUUCGUGGCUCAGUGAAGUGUUGACUCUUCUUGAUAGGAUCCUUUAAAAGUCUUCCAUAGUGACCUGGGGGGAGCAGAAACAGAUCUGAAUGAGUUAAAACAAGUUCUAGGUAUAAUGAGUCACAGAGUAUCAAAGUGUUAGCCGAGGGGCUGAAUUUGGCCUGUAGACUUCGGAUCCUUGUUUGUUGUUGUUGUUUUGUUUUGUUUGUCUUUGGCUUAAUCAGCUCAGACUUUUAAAAAGCAAUGAAUUUUGAGUCCUUGGAAGGGAGGUGCACCCUUCAGUUUGCCUUACUUACUCUAUGACACAAUUGUUUUACCAGUCUCAUACCUGAAGCUACUUGAGUUUGUCUCUUGGUCACAACCCGUGAAACAAAGAAGCAUGGUCAGCUGAGUGAGCUGACAUCAGUAAGCUAAUGUAAAAAACAAAAUUUCAGAAGUUUCCACAGGAUAUUUUCAAACUCCCAUCACUGCCUCAGAACCAGGGGCAGAUGGCUACAUUGUCUUUUCUGUUCAGUUAGCGUCUUCAAUACCCAGGUGCCUGUCAAUAGAAGCCUAGAACCUCCUUUUUAUUUUUAUUUAUUUACUUUUAUUUUUUAAAAAAGAUUUAUUUAUUUAUCUUUAUUUACUUGAGUGAGAGAGAGCGCACGCACAGAGGGAGAGGGAGAAGCAGACUCUGAGUGCAGAGUCUGACAUGAGACUCCAUUCCAAGACCCCGAGACUAUGACUUGAGCCCCAGUUGGAUGCUCAACCACCUGAGCCACCCAGGCAUUCCUGCAUUCACAUUUUCCAUGCGAAGCUUUGCAUUUACUCAGAAAAAAAAACCAGGUCUAAAGAAAUUUAUAAAGAAAGAUAUCAGAUUUAGUAAUCUGGGCAAAUUCUGUGCAAUACUUACUUGAAUUACAAAUUAUGUGAGUGAGGCUGUAGAAGCUUAUUUUUUGGAAAGCUCUCUUUUACCAAGUAUAAUAAUGAGGUCAAUUGCCACAACAUUGUAGAUGCUGAGGACUUUCCAAGAAGGUACUCUGGGAAGAUUCUAAAUAGGAGUGAUCAAAUCCUAGCCAAUUAAAGUUUUUUUUUUUCUUUUUAAAAUCAAUUUUACCAAUGAAAUUCCAUCUGGCUGAAUUGAGAAAGUAAUUUAUUUUACUAAAUUAUAAAUAUAUUAACAAAUAGAAACAUCUAAAUCACAUGCCUGUUCCUUUUCUGAUACACUAUAAAUCUGAGCUUCCCAGGUAAAUACUCAAUAAAAAGGCUUUAGACCCAGGGUUUCUACUACUGGCCUUCUACAUAUUUAAGUAUAGAAAUAUUUUAGAAAAUUACAGACACUUAUGAUUUUAAUUUAUAUUUUUUUUAGCUUUGACUGAAAGGAAAUUAAUUAUGGCCUAAUUUGCAUGUGCUUAUAGAGAUUCUGUUUAAAAUUUUAAAAUUUUUAUUUUAAAAAUAAUAACAUGCACUCUAUGUUAAUUAACUAGAAUUUAAAUAAAAAUUUGAAAAAAAAAAACCAGACCUGCUUGAUUAACAUACCUAUAAAAUUCUGUGCACUGAGGAGUAUCCUUCCCCCCCAACCUCCCUGUUAUCCCAGUUGGCACCCUCAUUCCAAUAAGGUCACUGUAUUUAUUCCAUUAAUCCUGGAUUUUUUUUGUAUUUUUUGUAGGGGAGAGAGAGGGAGGGAGAGAAUGAAAUGAGAAUUAACUUUAUAAUAUAUAAAUAAAUACACAUGUUAUUCUCUGUCCUUUUUAUAUAAAUGGCAGACAGCAUAGGAUACAAAUUGUUCUACAUUUUUUCAUAUUUAUUGAUAUAUUUUGCAGCUAAUUAUAUAAGAGUACAUAAAUAGCUUCCUCAUUCUUUUUAUAGGUGCACUAUAUUAUUUGGGGUUGUUUCCAGUUUUAUGCUGUUACAAAAAUUGCAUCAGUGAGUAACUGUGUACAAAUACCACUUUACAAAUGUGCAGGUAUUUCUAUAAAAUAAAAAGUUAGAAUUGGAAUUGUUAAUUCCAAGAGUAGGUUAUGAAUUUGUUAUUCUUGUAGAUGUUGUCCAUUUACAUUCCAUUAGGGGUUGUACCAAGUUAGAGUCCCACCAAUUUAUGAGAGUGCCAGUUUUUCCACACUUUAAUCAACACUGUGUAUUAUCAAACUUUCGGUUUUUAAAUCCAUCCAGCAGAUAAAAAUGAUAGUUUCAAUCUCUAUUCCUUAUUUUAUGAGGAGCAUUGCACCUCAUUUUCAUAUAUUUGAGACCCAUUUAUAUUUCCUUUUUGGUGAAUUAUCUACUUAUAUCCUUUAUCCAUUUGUAUUGCCUUUUUUUUUAAUUUGUUGAAACACACUUUUUAUUUAAGGAAUAUUAGGUUUUAUCUGCAAUACAUUUUGAAUAUCUUUACUAAUUUGUCAUUUGUUUUG